UGUGAAAACCCUUUGCUGAUGCAAACCUACACAAGUUCAGCAUGACUAAAAUUAGAAAGAAAAAGGAGGAAAUCCGGACUUCAUUAAAAUCAGUGGAUGUUUCUGAGCAGAAUUUCCAUUAAUUAAUUUCAGUGGGGCCAGGAUUUCAUCCCAAAGCACAGCCCAGAUGCAGCUUUGAGAAGGAAAGAAUGAUUGAGGAAGUUCAGCCCACAAAGAUCUGUGAUGCCUACUGCCAUCAGGAAGGUUUUGGUUGGACAGCUUAGUUGGGGGUGCACAUGCCCUGGGUGGCCCUGUGAAUGAAGGUCCUUGACAGAGGAUAACACCCAGAUACCUUGCUGGAUGCAGAAGUUAUUGGCGCAUGAAGUAGACCAAGGGACUAAUGAUGAUGAAAGGAGAAGCAGAUCUGCCCUCUUGUG